rnacentral:rRNA from 1 species
UCCAGACUCCUACGGGAGGCAGCAGUGGGGGAUAUUGCACAAUGGGGGAAACCCUGAUGCAGCGACGCCGCGUGUGGGAAGACGGUCCCCUGGAUUGUAAACCACUUUCCCCAGGGACGAAGAUGACGGUACCUGGGGAGGAAGCUCCGGCUAACUACGUGCCAGCAGCCGCGGCAAUACGUAGGGAGCAAGCGUUGUCCGGAAUUACUGGGUGUAAAGGGAGCGUAGGCGGGAUGGCAAGUUGGGGGUUAAAUCUACCGGCUCAACUGGUAGUCGCACUCAAAACUGCUAUUCUUGAGUGAAGUAGAGGGAGGCGGAAUUCCUAGUGUAGCGGUGAAAUGCGUAGAUAUUAGGAGGAACACCAGGUGCGAAGGCGGCCUGCUGGGCUUUUACUGACGCUGAGGCUCGAAAGUGUGGGGAGCAAACAGGAUUAGAUACCCCAGUUC